GAUGAAGAACGUAGCGAAAUGCGAUAAGUAAUGUGAAUUGCAGAAUUCAGUGAAUCAUCGAAUCUUUGAACGCACAUUGCGCCCUCUGGUAUUCCGGGGGGCAUGCCUGUUCGAGCGUCAUUACAACCCUCAAGCUUUGCUUGGUAUUGGACAUUGCCAGUUUCUGGCAGGUCUUAAAAUCAGUGGCGGUGCCAUUUGGCUUCAAGCGUAGUAAUUCUUCUCGCUUUGGAGAUCCAAGUGGUUACUUGCCAAUAACCCCCAAUUUUUUCGGGUUGACCUCGGAUCAGGUAGGGAUACCCGCUGAACUUAAGCAUAUCAAUAAGCGGAGGA
rnacentral:misc_RNA from 1 species